GAAAACUUUGGGCUUGGCAUUAGGAGAGCCUCGGCUGAAAUCCGAGGUUUUGAACGCGAUUUUUUCCGACAGAAGCUGGGCGCUUUCUUUCAUGUAAUGCUGCAGCUGAGCCUGGGACAGGUCUUUGAAAGCUACUCCAGAAGGGUAUUUCUCCACCGCCGGGACCACCAGUUUAUUCCUUUCGGCUAAAUACGUUUUUGGCUGCGGGUGCAAAGGGGAACUGAGGAAGUAGGAGGCCACCGGGUGGAUGUUCACGCCGGCUGCCGGGUGGCAUGGGCCGUCACCUCGGUUCAGGUAGCACAAGGCGCCCAUGGCGUGGAAUGAAGAGUGGUUGACCACACGCGGCCUUACCAGCUUGUACUGCUGCAGCGGCAGCGCGUCGCGGGCCAGGUCGCCCUUGAGACUCAGUGCGCAGUUGAGCAGGUCGCUGCAGCUGAAUGCGGGAGCCGAGGGCACCGCCGCGGGCGCCGCCGGGGCCUCCAGACUGGCCUUCCGCGGCUCGGAGCCCGUCACUCCUGCCUUGGGGCUCGUGUCGUAGGCCACAGGCACGAAGGGGAUCAUGCAGGGGAUCGACGAGUUGAGAUGCAGAGAGUGCUUGGGUUCCCCCUUGGCAUCACCAGCCGAACCUGCCUGCCCAGCCCAAUGGACUCCUGCCAGCCCAUCGCAGAGUUCUUGGCGCACCAAUGACUCGGGGACAAUCACUACUUAUUUCUAUCAAUAGAAAGUGUUGUGUCAAUAACGCAGCCAAGAUCUCGCCAAUCGUUAACUUCCAAGAGGAGAAGGGCUCGGGGUUGCCCGCUCCCGGAAUCCCGGAGUCUCCGCGGCCCGAACCGAGUCUGGACCAUUUAGAAGACGCCGGCAGGUAACUGGCCUCCCCAAACGCCCCGAAAAUUAAAAGCCUUAGGAGGCUUGUUCUGUGUUUGUGGUUUUGUAAAGGCAAUGCCCGCGGCAAUAGGCCUGGGAAAGUCGCACUUUCAUCCACAAAGUUGAGGAGUUGCAAGGAAUAAUUGGGUGUCACACCACAAGCAACCUUGACUCGAUCGGACCCCACCCAGGAUACACACAGACGCGCGCGCGCGCACGCUUCCGAGUUUCCAUUGAGAGUCUGGAAAGAGCAUUUCUUUCUUAAGUACCUGCGCUCAGCUAGAGCUCUCCCGGAGCAUUUUAAAUACUGAAUGCCGAGCGGAGAAGGGAAACAGAGUGUAUUAAUCCCCACUCCGGUUGCCGGUGUCUGCAAGCCUCCUCUAAGCAGCGCAGGCGGCAGCCUGGAUGUCUGUGCGCAUCAAGGAGACUUGCCGGCGCCAGAGUUGUGUCCACAGGUGCACUUGUGCCUCCCAAAGAGCGCGCGUAGAGACCAUUUCCCCUGCAACGCCCCCCAGCCGAACACCCGCCGGGUGUGGCACCUCGGCCGAAACUCCUGGGGCGGCGCGGUGGAGCGUGUGGAGGUUUCCGGGAAGACGCCUACGGCUGCGGCUCCGACUGUGCGGGCUCCCGCCGCCCAGGCAAGAGCGUCCAGGAGCGCGCUGGAAGCUGCGGCGCGCACCUUCCCCGGCGCAGUCUCUUGCCAGCCGGCGAUCACGCAGAGCUGAACCCCGCAGCUAGGCGCGCAGGAAGGGCUGCACAGAGUUUGAAGACACGGCAGCUGUAAGCUGGCGUGAGGAGGCCAAAGGAGCGCGCAGAGCUGCAAGCAAAGGGCGGUGGGGCCUGGACCCUGAAGUGAGUGGCCGACCGCAGCAGCUCAAGGUGCCAUCUGCCUGGCAAGCUACCCGGGUCCCUCCGCCCCACUCUAACUUUCCGCGAAAAUCAGUUCCGCCUCUGCCCCAAGAGCCAAGAGGGGUGGAAAGGAAGAGAGCUUGGGCUGGGAACGCGCCUGAUGUCUAACAGAAAGGCAGUGGCAGCUGGCGAAAAAUCCCCCUCCUGCUGCACUCCUCCGCCACCGGGCUAGGUUGAAAGGAAAAAGCCAAGAAGCGCGAAGCAGCCCGGCUCUGGAAGGCUUUGGAGAGUCCAGCUGACUUGUACACAAUUCGCGGCCUCUGGAGCCUUACCUGCCUUCUUGACUGAAUGCCACCAGUUCGUUUUACGCUUGUGGCUUUUUGUUGAAGUCCCUAUCAUAAGCAAAUGCAGUUUCUGGCUAUGGUUACUGCAAUUCGAAAUAAAAGGCCUGUGAGGUGUGUCCCUCCAGACUGAGAGGCUAUGACUCAGGGUUGGACUUUAUGGAAAAAAAGAAGUUUAUAAAACAAGUAACCCAGUUUCUCCAACCUUUACUGUGGAGCAACAGCGUCAAGCAACAAAACCCAGCAAAGUUUUGCUUGUCACUUACAAGGGUGUUACUGAAAUCUGGAAGGCGAACAAUUAGAAGAUAGCCCAAACAUGCUCUAUUGCUCUACACUGAAAUACUUGCCUCCAAUAAUAGAAAAAACCUGUUUUCGUGCAAUUGAUUGAUUAGCGUUCUGCAGCAGUCCCUGGACAAUUUUAAAGACAUUUUGUGUUUGUGGCCAAAAUUAGAAACAAGCAGACACACACACAAAACAACCAUAUUCAAGACACGGUUCGACUGUUUCCUUGACACUACCCACGAAGUUUAAAGCAUUUUUUAUGUUAUUUUCAAACUUUCUUAAGUGAUCCCAUGAAAUAAAAGUCGAUAAUAGAAAUU
ensembl:lncRNA FEZF1-AS1 FEZF1 antisense RNA 1